AGAACUCGGCAGAGUCGUUUUUGGUCGUGACACAGAUGUAACAUGGACGCCGCCGGUGACUACAACCAGCAUGGAUACCGGAUCUCAGCAGCCACUGAAUUCAGUUCGGUCUCUUCUCCAUUAUCCGUUCGAGAGGAGAACUAUGGUGGAAAAACUAAAUGUCAAAGAGCUUGGACCAGAUCAGCCCGACGUAAAGAUAAGCCAGCAGGAGAAGGAGAGAGAUAAGGCAUGGAUGAGUCAGGAGUUACAGACAUGAAACAUUUUUCUGAGAAGGUGAAGAAACACGAGUCAUCCCGGGCACACAUGGACAACAACACGGUGAAGCUAGCCAUGCUAGGCAGCAGAGCUAACAUUGCCAUGCAGGGAACAACAGCAGCUGGGUGCAGAGAGGAUUAAGACUUUCCUUGAGGAACACCAUGACACAGGAUGGGCUGAAUGCUCUUGCCAUACUCUCCAUGGAAAAAAAGCUUGUCACAAACAUUCCUGACUUCAAUAAAAAGCUCAUCGAGAGCCUUGCCACUCAGGACAGAAGGGCAAAAUUUCUGUACAAAUGAGGUAUCACACACACAAAUGCAUCC